AUGCAGCUGAGCGGUAGAGAUCUUUCGGGAUCUUGAGAGCGGCGUACGGGUGCGGAACACGUGUGCAACCUGCCUUUAUCAGGGGGAUAGCCUUUCGAAAGGAAGAUUAAUACCCCAUAAUAUUUUGAGUGGCAUCACUUGAAAUUGAAAACUGAGGUGGAUAAAGAUGGGCACGCGCAAGAUUAGAUAGUUGGUGAGGUAACGGCUCACCAAGUCGAUGAUCUUUAGGGGGCCUGAGAGGGUGAUCCCCCACACUGGUACUGAGACACGGACCAGACUCCUACGGGAGGCAGCAGUGAGGAAUAUUGGACAAUGGGUUAGCGCCUGAUCCAGCCAUCCCGCGUGAAGGACGACGGCCCUAUGGGUUGUAAACUUCUUUUGUACAGGGAUAAACCUACCCUCGUGAGGGUAGCUGAAGGUACUGUACGAAUAAGCACCGGCUAACUCCGUGCCAGCAGCCGCGGUAAUACGGAGGGUGCAAGCGUUAUCCGGAUUUAUUGGGUUUAAAGGGUCCGUAGGCGGAUGCGUAAGUCAGUGGUGAAAUCUCACAGCUCAACUGUGAAACUGCCAUUGAUACUGCGUGUCUUGAGUGAGGUUGAAGUAGCUGGAAUAAGUAGUGUAGCGGUGAAAUGCAUAGAUAU
rnacentral:rRNA from 1 species